rnacentral:ncRNA from 1 species
GGUUAAGCGACUAAGCGUACACGGUGGAUGCCUAGGCAGUCAGAGGCGAUGAAGGACGUGCUAAUCUGCGAAAAGCGCCGGUGAGCUGAUAUGAAGCCCUAUCAGCCGGCGAUAUCCGAAUGGGGAAACCCAGUGCAAUCCGUUGCACUAUCAUUCACUGAAUCCAUAGGUGAAUGAGGCGAACCGGGGGAACUGAAACAUCUCAGUACCCCGAGGAAAAGAAAUCAACCGAGAUUCCCCCAGUAGCGGCGAGCGAACGGGGAGCAGCCCAGA